AUUGAACGCUGGCGGCAGGCCUAACACAUGCAAGUCGAGCAGUAACAGAAAGAAAGCUUGCUUUCUUUGCUGACGAGUGGCGGACGGGUGAGUAACGCGUGGGAAUCUGCCUAGUAGUGGGGGACAACCUGGGGGAAACUCAGGCUAAUACCGCAUACGCCCUACGGGGGAAAGCAGGGGAUCUUCGGACCUUGCGCUAUUAGAUGAGCCUGCGUCGGAUUAGCUUGUUGGUGGGGUAAAGGCCUACCAAGGCGACGAUCCGUAGCUGGGUUUGAGAGGACGAUCGGCCACACUGGGACUGAGACACGGCCCAGACUCCUACGGGAGGCAGCAGGUGGGGAAUAGUUGGACAAUGGGGGCAACCCUGAUCCAGCAAUGCCGCGUGUGUGAAGAAGGCCUGCGGGUUGUAAAGCACUUUCGGAUGGGAAGAAAAGCUCAAGGCUAAUAUCCUUGAGUCUUGACGUUACUAUCAGAAGAAGCACCGGCUAACUCUGUG
rnacentral:rRNA from 1 species